UUAUUGCAUGUUGCAAAUAGUGUAGCUACAAAAAAAAUUGCCAAAUUGCAAUUCAAUCACAUGCCUUCGACGCAACUUGCAGCAUACAUAGAGAUCGGCAAGCAGAUAUUUGUCGGCAGAGCGCCAACUUUGGCAUCGUGGCGCACAACGAGAGCGACUAGAGAGAACGCACAUCUGUUCAGAGGUGUUACGCUCAAAAAUAGCGAAUGGCAAUGUGAAGCGCAAACGAACCGUUGUCGUUACGGUUAAGUGUAUGGGUGCAUGCGUGUUUGUCGGUGGAUUCGUAGCUGUUGUAGUAUUGGAGCGCGCCCAUGUGAAUGGAUGGAUGGGAGGGAAAAACAAAUUUGACAAUUGUACCGCGCGUACGAACGAAAUGAACAAAACAAAACUGAAACGGCAUUGCUGCUGCCUGUGUUGUCGUUUAACGUAUAUGUCGACGCAGUUGCCGGCGUGUUUGAUGGAUUUUCUUUUUUUUCUUUGUAACAGAGACUCUUAUUAGUGGCAAUAAUAGUUACACCUAAGACAGACCAAUAUUCAAUGCGCCCUCACACCGGCACCGACACACACACAUAUAUAUAUAUAUACAUAUACAUACAUAUAUGUAUCAAGUGUAGUAAGCAUAGGCAAAGCGGCGAUUGCCCCGUCUAUUACGCUGCUGCUCUCUCGCUCGCGCUCACUCUCUCUCAGUCGCUCUCGCAUGCUAUGGGCCAAUAUAAUACAAUACACAUACAAACAUACAAAAAUAUAUAUAUAUACACACACAUAUACAUAUAUAUGUAUGUAUAC